GGCCUAACAUGCUAUAUGUCUGUUCUCUCCUUCAUAUAGAAACAAGGUGCUGCUGGCCUAACAUCCUGUAUGUCUGUUCUCUCCUUCAUAUAGAAACAAGGUGCUGCUGGCCUAACAUUCUGCCUGUUCUCUCCUCCAUAUAGAAACAAGGUGCUGCUGGCCUAACAUCCUGUCUGUUCUCUCCUUCAUAUAGAAACAAGGUGCUGCUGGCCUAACAUCCUGUAUGUCUGUUCUCUCCUUCAUAUAGAAACAAGGUGCUGCUGGCCUAACAUCCUGUAUGUCUGUUCUCGCCUUCAUAUAGAAACAAGGUGCUGCUGGCCUAACAUUCUGCCUGUUCUCUCCUCCAUAUAGAAACAAGGUGCUGCUGGCCUAACAUCCUGUCUGUUCUCUCCGUCAUAUAGAAACAAGGUGCUGCUGGCCUAACAUCCUGUCUGUUCUCUCCUUCAUAUAGAAACAAGGUGCUGCUGGCCUAACAUCCUGUAUGUCUGUUCUCUCCUUCAUAUAGAAACAAGGUGCUGCUGGCCUAACAUCCUGUCUGUUCUCUCCGUCAUAUAGAAACAAGGUGCUGCUGGCCUAACAUCCUGUAUGUCUGUUCUCUCCUUCAUAUAGAAACAAGGUGCUGCUGGCCUAACAUCCUGUAUGUCUGUUCUCUCCUUCAUUUAGAAACAAGGUGCUGCUGGCCUAACAUCCUGUAUGUCUGUUCUCUCCUUCAUAUAGAAACAAUGUGCUGCUGGUCUAACAUCCUGUAUAUCUGUUCUCUCCUUCAUAUAGAAACAAGGUGCUGCUGGCCUAACAUCCUGUCUGUUCUCUCCUUCAUAUAGAAACAAGGUGCUGCUGGCCUAACAUCCUGUCUGUUCUCUCCUUCAUAUAGAAACAAGGUGCUGCUGGCCUAACAUCCUGUCUGUUCUCUCCUUCAUAUAGAAACAAGGUGCUGCUGGCCUAACAUCCUGUAUGUCUGUUCUCUCCUUCAUAUAGAAACAAGGUGCUGCUGGCCUAACAUGCUGUAUGUCUGUUCUCUCCUUCAUAUAGAAACAAGGUGCUGCUGGCCUAACAUCCUGUAUGUCUGUUCUCUCCUUCAUAUAGAAACAAGGUGCUGCUGGCCUAACAUCCUGUCUGUUCUCUCCGUCAUAUAGAAACAAGGUGCUGCUGGCCUAACAUCCUGUAUGUCUGUUCUCUCCUUCAUAUAGAAACAAGGUGCUGCUGGCCUAACAUCCUGUAUGUCUGUUCUCUCCUUCAUAUAGAAACAAGGUGCUGCUGGCCUAACAUCCUGUAUGUCUGUUCUCUCCUUCAUAUAGAAACAAGGUGCUGCUGGCCUAACAUCCUGUAUGUCUGUUCUCUCCUUCAUAUAGAAACAAGGUGCUGCUGGCCUAACAUCCUGUAUGUCUGUUCUCUCCUUCAUAUAGAAACAAGGUGCUGCUGGCCUAACAUCCUGUCUGUUCUCUCCUUCAUAUAGAAACAAGGUGCUGCUGGCCUAACAUCCUGUAUGUCUGUUCUCUCCUUCAUAUAGAAACAAGGUGCUGCUGGCCUAACAUCCUGUCUGUUCUCUCCUUCAUAUAGAAACAAGGUGCUGCUGGCCUAACAUCCUGUCUGUUCUCUCCUUCAUAUAGAAACAAGGUGCUGCUGGCCUAACAUCCUGUCUGUUCUCUCCUUCAUAUAGAAACAAGGUGCUGCUGGCCUAACAUCCUGUAUGUCUGUUCUCUCCUUCAUAUAGAAACAAGGUGCUGCUGGCCUAACAUGCUGUAUGUCUGUUCUCUCCUUCAUAUAGAAACAAGGUGCUGCUGGCCUAACAUCCUGUAUGUCUGUUCUCUCCUUCAUAUAGAAACAAGGUGCUGCUGGCCUAACAUCCUGUAUGUCUGUUCUCUCCUUCAUAUAGAAACAAGGUGCUGCUGGCCUAACAUCCUGUCUGUUCUCUCCUUCAUAUAGAAACAAGGUGCUGCUGGCCUAACAUCCUGUAUGUCUGUUCUCUCCUUCAUAUAGAAACAAGGUGCUGCUGGCCUAACAUCCUGUAUGUCUGUUCUCUCCUUCAUAUAGAAACAAGGUGCUGCUGGCCUAACAUCCUGUCUGUUCUCUCCUUCAUAUAGAAACAAGGUGCUGCUGGCCUAACAUCCUGUCUGUUCUCUCCUUCAUAUAGAAACAAGGUGCUGCUGGCCUAACAUCCUGUAUGUCUGUUCUCUCCUUCAUAUAGAAACAAGGUGCUGCUGGCCUAACAUCCUGUAUGUCUGUUCUCUCCUUCAUAUAGAAACAAGGUGCUGCUGGCCUAACAUCCUGUCUGUUCUCUCCUUCAUAUAGAAACAAGGUGCUGCUGGCCUAACAUCCUGUAUGUCUGUUCUCUCCUUCAUAUAGAAACAAGGUGCUGCUGGCCUAACAUCCUGUAUGUCUGUUCUCUCCUUCAUAUAGAAACAAGGUGCUGCUGGCCUAACCUCCUGUAUGUCUGUUCUCUCCUUCAUAUAGAAACAAGGUGCUGCUGGCCUAACAUCCUGUAUGUCUGUUCUCUCCUUCAUAUAGAAACAAGGUGCUGCUGGCCUAACCUCCUGUAUGUCUGUUCUCUCCUUCAUAUAGAAACAAGGUGCUGCUGGCCUAACCUCCUGUAUGUCUGUUCUCUCCUUCAUAUAGAAACAAGGUGCUGCUGGCCUAACCUCCUGUAUGUCUGUUCUCUCCUUCAUAUAGAAACAAGGUGCUGCUGGCCUAACCUCCUGUAUGUCUGUUCUCUCCUUCAUAUAGAAACAAGGUGCUGCUGGCCUAACCUCCUGUAUGUCUGUUCUCUCCUUCAUAUAGAAACAAGGUGCUGCUGGCCUAACCUCCUGUAUGUCUGUUCUCUCCUUCAUAUAGAAACAAGGUGCU